GCCAAUCUAAAAAAGAAUACUCAUCUUUGCCUGAAGUUUCUGAGUCCUAUUGUAAAUAAACAGUAAUAGCAGAAAUAGAAACGUGAGAGAUUUGUCAAGAUGUUUAAUUGCUCAGGUCUCCGUGGAACCAGAUGUCAAGUGUGAUCCUUUCCAACAACUUCUUACCUUCCUGUUCUCGUUGGCAGCAGCUUGAGUGAUGCACACACCAUGGGACAAACCACAGGCUUACCUCUCUGAAUUCAUGGCAGAAGACCUCAACCACUGUGUCACCCAACUCCAGCAGCUACUAAAGAGGAGCUAAGUAAACAAGUCAGAGGGACUCCAACUUGGCAUAACGAGGUGGGGCUCCUGCACGUGAAGGACCUCGCUCCAGGUCUCACCACUUGAGGUACCAACUGAUGGGGAAAACUAUACCUUGCAAACAACCUGCCACUCUGCAGCUGAAUGAGUAUGUCAAAUAACUACAUCUUUUGAGGAGCUACAAGGCCACAAAUGAUUUGAAAAUGUGUGAAAUUCUGGUCCCUGUGAUAGAGAAGAUGAAGAAUACAUUUUGAAAACACAGUGUAACCACUCUAUAGAAAGGAGAGCUAUUUUUAAAAAGAAUGUAAGAGGCCUUUAGGACACAAGUAAAAGCCAUUACGCCCAGCAAAGCUCAAUUCCUUCUGUUCUGCACUAUGAACACCUUUAAUGAUUUCCUGAAUGACCCCACUGUUUGUGUGCAAUCUUGCUGGCCAGAAACUAGUCCAUUUGUAACUUUUAAAAUAUAAUCUACAUAAAUACCUCAUUAUCCUAUUAUCUGCAUUAGACUGGAAACACUAACUUGAAAAGGCAUUACCUGUAGCAUUUAAGAUGUCAUAAAUUAACUGAGUUCUCCUAAGCGGACCAUAUUUUGCAGCCUCCUAAUACAUCCCACUAUUCUCCUUUUUAAAAUCUGGGAUCAGUAUAACUACUACUCUUUCAAUUUUUCAACUGCUACAAGAUAUUUUUGUAAUACAGUGAUAUAUUCUAAAGUGAACUACUACCAUAGACUGCUAUAAUUAAACCUAUGAUCUUCCCUUUCAAUUGCAUGUUCUAGAAUUAUAUGUGCUUUGUUUAAGUUGAUCUCCCUUUGUG
rnacentral:lncRNA from 1 species